rnacentral:rRNA from 1 species
GUCCUCUUGUUUAUAUAUGAGGUCUGACCUGCCCGGUGAAAUUGUUUUAACGGCCGCAGUAUUUUGACUGUGCAAAGGUAGCAUAAUCAUUAGUCUUUUAAUAGGGGGCUGGAAUGAAGGGUUUGACGAGGUGUUAACUGUCUCAUUAAAUUUAUUAUUAAAAUUUAACUUUUCAGUCAAAAGGCUGAAAUUAUAUUGGAAGACGAGAAGACCCUAUAGAGCUUUAUAAUUGAAAGCUUAAUUAUUAUUUGUUUAUUAUUUUUUAUUACUCUUUUAAUUAUUUUGUUGGGGUGACAAAAAUAUAAAAUUAACUUUUUUAUUUAAUCAACAUUGAUUAAUGAAUAUUAGAUCCAAUCUUAUUGAUUGUUAGAUUAAGUUACC